UACGUAGGGUGCGAGCGUUAAUCGGAAUUACUGGGCGUAAAGCGUGCGCAGGCGGUUCGUUGUGUCUGCUGUGAAAUCCCCGGGCCGUCAACCUGGGAAUGGCAGUGGAAACGUAGGCGAGCUUGAGUGUGGCAGAGGGGGGUGGAAUUCCGCGUGUAGCAGUGAAAUGCGUAGAGAUGCGGAGGAACACCGAUGGCGAAGGCAACCCCCUGGGCUGACACUGACGCUGAGGUGCGAAAGCGUGGGGAGCAAACAGG
rnacentral:rRNA from 1 species